AGGAAUGUAUAGCAAUAGCUAGUUGCAUCAUUGUAAAGAUGAUGCAAUAUUGACUAUGUUGAAUAAAAUUCUAGGUAGAAUUAUGAUAAUGACAUUGUCUGCCUAUGUGUCUUGACCAAAUUACGUGCCAGCAGUCGCGGUAAUACGUAGAAGACUAGUGUUAUUCAUGUUUAAUCGGUUUAAAGGGUACCUAGACGGCAGAUCAAGCUUUCCGAGCAGAAAAAAAGUAAAAAGGACUAAUUUGCUAGAGUUACUUACGAGGGGGUUUUAAAGUACUGCUGGUGUAGAGAUGAAAUUCUUUAAUACCUAUUUUCGAAAGAAUUAUAAUGGCACAGGUAUAGGCGAAGGCAUCCCCUUAUGUGAUAACUGACGUUGAGGGACGAAGGCUUUAUACAACGAACGGGAUUAGAUACCCCAUUAGUGGAAGCAGUAAAUGAUGAAUGUCAUAGAUUAGUAGAUAGGUUCAUUCUAUAAAUGAAAGUGUAAGCAUUCCACCUCAUGAGUAAUAUGGCAACAUUGGAAUUGAAAUCAUUAGACCGUAUCUGAAACCAGUAGUGAAGUAUGUUGUUUAAUUUGAUGAUCCGCAAAAAACCUUACCACAAUUUGAAUAUUUAUAUUUUUUUUUUUUGUCCUUAAUUUUCUUCUAAAGUGGAAAGAAAUUAAUAAAGAGGCAAUAAGAUAUAUUUACAAGCGUUGCACGGCUGUCUUCAGUUAAUGUCGCGAGAUUUUGGUUAGAUCCAUAAAAUUAACGUAAACCCUUACUUUAUUUUU
rnacentral:rRNA from 1 species